rnacentral:rRNA from 1 species
CCUACGGGAGGCAGCAGUGAGGAAUUUUCCGCAAUGGGCGAAAGCCUGACGGAGCAAUACCGCGUGAGGGAUGAAGGAUUUUGGUCUGUAAACCUCUUUUCUCAAGAAAGAAGUUCUGACGGUACUUGAGGAAUAAGCAUCGGCUAACUCCGUGCCAGCAGCCGCGGUAAUACGGGGGAUGCAAGCGUUAUCCGGAAUGAUUGGGCGUAAAGCGCCUGUAGGUUGUUUAUUAAGUCCGUUGUUAAAGCCUAGGGCUUAACCCUAGAAAAGCAAUGGAAACUAGUAGACUAGAGUAUGGCAGGGGUAGAGGGAAUUUCUAGUGUAGCGGUGAAAUGCGUAGAUAUUAGAAAGAACACCGGUGGCGAAAGCGCUCUACUGGACCAUUACUGACACUCAGAGGCGAAAGCUAGGGUAGCAAAAGGGAUUAGAUACCCCUGUAGUCCUAGCCGUAAACGAUGGAUACUAGAUGUUGUGCAUUAUGUACAGUAUCGUAGCUAACGCGUUAAGUAUCCCGCCUGGGGAGUACGCUCGCAAGGGUGAACUUAAAGGAAUUGACGG